UCAGAACAAUAACUAAAGCAUAGAAGGAAGGCUAAAAUAAGAAUUCAGAAACUAUAAACCGGCUCUCUUCUAGCUUACGACACAAACUAUGAGUGAGAAAAGGACAAAUGAUUCGCUCUUUGCUUCAUUUUUUCCGAGGUUGUCACAACAUGAAAUGUCAUUUGGACCUAUUGGACUCAUUUUAAUUCGGCCAAAUACAUAGUAACAUACAUAAGAAGAUUUUACUUAUAUUUACCGAACUAUUUGACACGGUCGCGUGAACUUUGUUUACGAGUGUCUUGUGUUCAGAUUGUUUUAAGUGAUAAUUUAACAAUAUUUUUCCAAAUAAAUGGAAAGAAACUUUUAUUUAUAUCAAAUAAUUGAGUGUCUCGACUCUGUGACAUUAUGUCUUGUGUGGUAUGGGGCUGCAGCUCACAUUCAGGAAGAAAAGAAAAUAGCCAACAACUUCUGUCGUUUCAUCGAUAUUAAAUCCAAAAGUGUCGACUGGAUUUACAUGAAAAGUCAGUUCAAGAAGACGAGAUGAAAAAUUUAAAAGAAAAGCUGAACAAGUCACGCCUCAAGAUCAAACGACUUAAUGAAAAAAAAAAUCAAUGUGACAGGGUGUCACAAAGACAGUUUCUAAACAAAUUGACACUGUUUAGAAAUUAAUAAAUUUGUAUUUAUUGUAAAUAUAAUGUACAUAAUUAAUAACGUGUAAAAUAAAUACUUGCUAAUGAACAGA